ensembl:misc_RNA Metazoa_SRP Metazoan signal recognition particle RNA
AUGUUCACAGUAGUGAACAAAACAAAAAGGCAGGAGGAUCACUCGAGCCCAAGAGUUCUAGGCCAUAGUGUGCUAUGCCACUGGGGUGUUCACACUAAGUUUGACAUCAAUAUGGCGGCUUCCCAGGAGUGGGGGACCCCCACGUUGCCUAAGGAAGGGGUGAACCAGCCCCGGUCAGAAAUGAAGCAGUUCAAAACUCCUGUGCUGAUCAGCAGUGGGAUCUCACCUCUGAAUAGCCACUGCACUCUAGCCUCAGCAACGCAGUGAGGUCCUGGCUCU